AUAACAAUACAGGACUCUUUAGAGGCCCUGUAAUUGUAAUGAGUCCACUUGAAAUCCUUUAACUCUGAUCAAUUGGAGGGAAAGUCUGGUGCACAGCGACUGACUCGUGCAUGCUGCAGCUAAACCCCACUAUCGCCUGCUGCUG
rnacentral:rRNA from 1 species